ensembl:lncRNA
ACAGUCUCAUCAGUAAAUAUUUACUUAGUUGAGGAAAUUUGUCCAGGAAGGGACAUGAUGAAGACUGUAAAUACAAUAAAUAAAUCAGUAAAAUCAUAAAGAAGCUUUCAACAGAAUUUGUUGAAACAAUUGGUUGGGUUUCUGGUAAUGGAACUUUUGUUUCUCAGUAAAGUGUUUGUUAUCUGUGGUCUGCUAACCAGUAAACCUAAACUACGGGUCUGAGGCAGGCGCCUUGCAAGUUGUGAAAACAUUUCACAGGUUGAAAAGGAAGUUUGUCAUCCACUUCUCUGCUGCACAACUUUGCCUUUGGUAUUCAAGCUAAGAAGCAUGUGCUGAUAUGGUAGGAUACAAUGGUUGUCUAUUCAAGUGUGUACACCAUUUGACAUAAUGGAGAGCUAUGGCAUGAUGGUAUUAUUUCAUUUUUACCUUAUGGGGUAUUGUGUGUAGGCAGGUGACAAAAAGCGCCUGUUUUCUGUGGUCUGCUAACCAGUAAACCUAAACCACGGGUCUGAGGCAGGCACCUCAUGUUGAAAAGGUAGUAUGGCAUCCACUUAUCUGCUGCACAACUUUGCCGUUGGUAUUCAAGCUAAGAAGCAUGUGCUGAUAUAGUAGUUAGGAUACAUUGGUUGUAUAUUAAAGUGUGUACACCAUUUUACUUAAUGGAGAGCUAUGGCAAGAUGAUCUUCAAUAGAGGAACAAAUGUAGUGAUGGUCCCCCUGUAAGUAGGAUUCAUGUCAACUAGUAAUGUUUAAGCUGGAGGCCAAGCUGAGAACUCAACACUGACAUAUUGGGUGAUAGACAUAGUACCAACUGCCUGGUCAAGGGCAUACCAUUAUAUGUGGGAUUUGAUUGGUCCCUUGCUGAAAAUGGGAAAGGAGUCACAGAGAACAUGGUUCUGAUUGGUUCUUUGUGUGUUCCACAGGAAGACUGCUCCCUGACCUACCUGAGUCUUGCAGGAAAUCAACUGAUGGACGGCAGAGUGGCCACCCUCGCCAGAGUGGGAGAGAGAGUUCCUGCGAGGUUUUCACUGCCUCCAUAAAACUGGCCAACUCCCCCAGGAGAAGGGGGUUCUUGAAACCUUUGGUUAGCCAGAACCUUUGAUCUCCAUCCAGGAGGGCAAGUCAUGACGAGACCUAUUUAGUUACAUUUCAUUGGGCCUAUUUAGUUGCUAUCUAUAUGCCUUACAUUUUACCUCACAAAAGAAGGUCAACAUAUUUACCUGCACAAACCAGAAGAAGACCAAUACUGAUGAUAAGAGAGGUGGUCCUCAUAUUCUCCUCAGUCACAAGAUACUGAAUGUUUUGGGCCAGUGUUGUCGCAAAAUACAUUUUAGACAUGGACCACUUACACCCUUGAAAUCAUUAGCACAACCCUUUAUCGUUAGCAGUUAUCACGACUAACAUUAUGUACUACAGCGUGACUUGUGUUUACAUUUUUAGUGGUACUCUGAAAGUAGUGAAUAUACCUUUGUCAGUUGAGGGGGGAAUUUGAUCUGUAUUGCGGAAGAUCUGUGUUAAAAUGCAGGGUGGGGGCAGCAGCGUAGCCUAGUGGUUAGAGCGUUGGACUAGUAACCUAAAGGUUGCAAGAUCAAAUCCCCAAGCUGACAAGGUAUAAAUCUGUCGUUCUGCCCCUGAACAAGGCAGUUAACCCACUGUUCCUAGGCCAUCAUUGAAAUAAGAAUUUGUUCUUAACUGACUUGCCUAGUUAAAUAAAGGUAAAAAUGAAUGUCAUUUCUCCUUUAAAUUUAAUUUGAGCUAUAACUUGGAUCUUCCACGAUACAAUCAAAUUGAGCCCUAAUUCACAGGAUGAUUUUUCCAAUGUAAAAUAUCCAAAAGGGAGAGACCAAGCCCCUCAUUUUAGAAUGCAUUGCAGGGAGAUAGUAUACAUUAAUAGCAAGGGUUUUAUAGUGAAAUGAAGGAGACUGUUUUGAAUAACCUUCAGGAUUUAAUUCAAUAAAAAUUGCAGUUGUAAUCAAUCAAUCAAUCAAUCAAUCAAAUAUAUUUAUGAAGCCUGUUUUACACCACCCGAUGUCACAAAGUGCUAUACAGAAACCCAGCCAAAAAACCCAAACAGCAAGCAAUGCAGAUGUAGAAGCAUGGUGGCUAGGAAAACUCUCUAGAAAGGCAGGAACCUGGGAAGAAACCUAGAGAGGAACCAGGCUCUGAUGAGUGGCCAGUCCUCUUCUGUCGAGAUGGAAUGUCAGAUAUUAGCAAUGUUAAUAAAUGACUUUAAAGACUGCCAUUCCAUCCAGACAGUUGUGUAUGAAAAUAAUGUUAAGGUAAGCUAUGACAGCGUGUUCUGAAAGAAACGUGUGCCCAGGGC